CCAGCAGCCGCGGUAAUUCCAGCUCCAAUAACGUAUGUUAAAGUUGUUGCAGUUAAAAAGCUCGUAGUCUGACUCUUGGUCUGGCGGAUCGAGCGUCGGCGGCCCACAAGGUCGCUCGUACGCCGUCGCCGGCCUUCGUACUUCGGAGGAGCGCGUCUGCUUUUCACUAAGUGGGCGUGGGAUUCCGAUAGUUUACUUUGAGAAAAAUAGAGUGUUCAAAGCAGGCGAUUGCCUUGAAUACAUUAGCAUGGGAUAAUGGAACAGGACAUUGGUUCUAUUUUGAUGGUUUAAGGACCGAUGUAAUGAUUAAUAGGGACGGUUGGGGACAUUCAUAUUCCAUGGCUAGAGGUGA
rnacentral:rRNA from 1 species